rnacentral:RNase_P_RNA from 1 species
UAAGCAGGCAGAGAUGGUCACUCCGUCACAUUUUGUGACGGGGAGGAAAGUCCGGGCUCCCCAGGGCAGCGUGCUGGAUAAUCUCCAGGCUUAAGGGACUAUAUUUCCUUAAGACGGAAAGUGCCACAGAAAAUAGACCGCCUGCCACAAAACUUGGCGAGGUAAGGGUGAAAAGGUGGUGUAAGGGACCACCGCUCUUGUGGUGACACAAGAGGCAGGGUAAACCCCACGCGGAGCAAGACCAAAUAAGAGAGAAGUAAUGUGCCCGUUACGCUCUUACUCUCGGGUAGGUCGCUAGAACCCGGCGGUAACGGCGGGUCAAGAGAAAUGACCAUCAAUCACAACCAUAAUCAGUGAGGCACAGAACCCGGCUUAUCUGCCUGCUUUAUAA